rnacentral:rRNA from 1 species
UACAGAGGGGGCUAGCGUUGCUCGGAAUCACUGGGCGUAAAGCGCGUGUAGGUGGCGAUGUAAGUCGGGUGUGAAAUCCCUUGGCUCAACCAAGGAAGUGCACUCGAUACUGUGUCGCUUGAGUACUGGAGGGGGUGGCGGAAUUCCUGGUGUAGCAGUGAAAUGCGUAGAUAUCAGGAGGAACACCGAUGGCGAAGGCAGGUCUCUGGGCUGACACUGACGCUCAUGCACGAAAGCGUGGGGAGCAAACAGG